rnacentral:tRNA from 1 species
GCCUGGGUGGCUCAGUCGGUUGAGCGUCCGACUUCAGCUCGGGUCAUAAUCUCACGGUUUGUGAGUUUGAGCCCCACGUCGGGCU